AGGACAAACGCUGGCGGCGUACCUAAGACAUGCAAGUCGAACGGAUCAUAUGGUUUCGGCCGUAUGGUGAGUGGCGGACGGGUGAGUAACGCGUAGGAACCUGUCAUGAAGUGGGGGAUAACGCUGGGAAACCGGCGCUAAUACCGCAUGAGGUCGCAGCAAUGCGAAGAAAGCUUUUCGCGCAAGUGGAAGGCGCUAUAUGAGGGGCCUGCGUCCGAUUAGCUAGUUGGUGGGGUAAAGGCCUACCAAGGCAUCGAUCGGUAGCUGGU
rnacentral:rRNA from 1 species